rnacentral:rRNA from 1 species
AUUGAACGCUGGCGGCAUGCCUUACACAUGCAAGUCGAACGGCAGCGGACCUUCGGGUGCCGGCGAGUGGCGAACGGGUGAGUAAUAUAUCGGAACGUACCUUUCAGUGGGGGAUAACGUAGCGAAAGUUACGCUAAUACCGCAUAUUCUGUGAGCAGGAAAGCAGGGGAUCGCAAGACCUUGCGCUGAUUGAGCGGCCGAUAUCAGAUUAGCUAGUUGGUGAGGUAAAGGCUCACCAAGGCGACGAUCUGUAGCGGGUCUGAGAGGAUGAUCCGCCACACUGGAACUGAGACACGGUCCAGACUCCUACGGGAGGCAGCAGUGGGGAAUUUUGGACAAUGGGCGCAAGCCUGAUCCAGCCAUGCCGCGUGUGUGAAGAAGGCCUGCGGGUUGUAAAGCACUUUCAGUGGGGAAGAACAGGUUCGGGUCAAUACCCCGGAGCCCUGACGUUACCCACAGAAGAAGCACCGGCUAACUCCGUGCCAG